GGUUGUUGGUCGCUUCAUUGAACACCGUUGGUACGAGCAAAAUGACAAAAUUGACAUAAGGUACCAUGGCAAGUUUGAAGGAAUCAAACAAGUGAAGAAGUCCGUAUAUGUUGUGGCCUAUUGGAAGAGUGAUGAAUCUUAUGCCAUUGCAGUGGACUACGACAUGGAUGUGUAUGAACUAGCCGCCGACAUCAUUUUUGGAGACUUAAUUAUUUUAUAGAACCAGUUGAACCAGCCUCGACCAUCAGCAUCACCAAUACCCUACGACCUACCGGAUACCACUCUAUUGCAGACCCUCUUCAGUCCAAUUCAGCAUCCCCAGUUCUAUUGCUAUAGAGUAGACUGGUAGCAACUCAGCUUUUGCUACAAGCUACACUACCAACUACAGCACAGGCUCAGGACAGCCAUGGCACAGAUCUCGUUUAUAGCGACACUGAAAUUUUAUAGGAGAGACUCGGGCCCAGUCCAGUGGCCCUGAGUGGGUGCCAGUGCAGUCCACGCAUCAACAACACGGUCAAUUGAGUGGAGUUGUUCUCAUCUAUUGACCAAAUCUUCAUGCCGUAAUGUUGCGCGUUUGCCGCUCUCUCCGCCUCCUCCUGAGCAGCCGUCUC
rnacentral:lncRNA from 1 species